rnacentral:rRNA from 1 species
UACGGAGGGGGCAAGCGUUACUCGGAAUUACUGGGCGUAAAGCGCACGCAGGCGGUUGAUUGAGUCAGAUGUGAAAUCCCCGGGCUUAACCUGGGAAGUGCAUUUGAUACUGGGCAGCUAGAGUCUUGUAGAGGGGAGUAGAAUGCCAGGUGUAGCGGUGAAAUGCGUAGAGAUGUGGAGGAAUACCGGUGGCGAAGGCGGCCCCCUGGACAAAGACUGACGCUCAGGUGCGAAAGCGUGGGGAGCAAACAGG